GGGCCCGCACAAGCGGUGGAGCAUGUGGUUCAAUUCGAAGCAACGCGAAGAACCUUACCAACCUUUGACAUGCCUCGUAUGGUCGCUGGAGACAGCUUCCUUCCCGCAAGGGGCGAGAGCACAGGUGCUGCAUGGCUGUCGUCAGCUCGUGUCGUGAGAUGUUGGGUUAAGUCCCGCAACGAGCGCAACCCUCGGCCUUAGUUGCCAUCAUUUAGUUGGGCACUCUAAGGCGACUGCCGGUGAUAAGCCGCGAGGAAGGUGGGGAUGACGUCAAGUCCUCAUGGCCCUUACAGGUUGGGCUACACACGUGCUACAAUGGCGGUGACAGUGGGAUGCAAUGGAGUAAUCCUGCGCAAAUCUCAAAAAGCCGUCUCAGUUCGGAUUGUGCUCUGCAACUCGAGCACAUGAAGUUGGAAUCGCUAGUAAUCGCAGAUCAGCACGCUGCGGUGAAUACGUUCCCGGGCCUU
rnacentral:rRNA from 1 species